GAUUGGAGGUGGAGGAGGACCAGGACGGCAGGACCCUCGCCUCGCGAUUCUCCAAGGAGUGAGUGAAAAGGCAACGUUCCUUCGUUUAAAAGUCCCCGCAAACGGAAACAUCCCUCACCAACCUACUUUUUCAGUUAACAAGGAAAUAGCAUAUUCAUUUUAUGGAUACUCAAGUACCUGGCAAGGAGGUUUCUCAGGAACUGGCCCGAGAGUCACUUAUUGCUAUUUCUCAGUCCAUACCAGACAAGGUUCUCGUCUCGGAGCUCUAUUCUGAAAAUCUGAACAACAAAAAUGUGGUUGAGGUGGAAGAAAGUGAUGGAGCUGAAAAGUAUCGUUCUGAGUUGAUAUCGAUUUCCUACAUGCAAUCACCGGAUAUUAAAACAUUACCAGUUGCAUUGGGUAACCUUCAGGGUUAGCCAGGACAGAAGGUUCUCACCGCGGGAACUUAUUGCAAUAAUAUUCUGUGGUUUGUUUGUGUUCCAAAAAAGGCUAGUUCAUAAAUGGUUACAGUCAAAGCUCUAUAUGUUUCUGUCAAUCUGGAUGUAAACAGACAAGGUGAGAUGUUAACUGCAUGUGUAAAUUUUAUGAUGUUGGUACACUGAGAGAUCUUUCUUGGGGACAAUGAAUGGAAAUAGAUUUCGGUUUUUGUUUGCUAUUUGUUAUUCCCGUUUUAUCGGCUAUUUGAACUGUAACAUUUUAGACUUAGAGGUAUUAUCAUUAUAUCCAUGCUCCAUUAUUGUUCUGGCUACUUUCCCCCUUAAUUUGUAUAAAUCUUAUGAAAUAGUGAUUUUGUGGAGUG